GUAAGGAAUAUUGGACAAUGGACGCAAGUCUGAUCCAGCCAUGCCGCGUGAAGGAUUAAGGUCCUCUGGAUUGUAAACUUCUUUUAUAAGGGACGAAAAAAGGCUUUUCUAAGUCGUCUGACGGUACCUUAUGAAUAAGCACCGGCUAACUCCGUGCCAGCAGCCGCGGUAAUACGGAGGGUGCAAGCGUUAUCCGGAUUCACUGGGUUUAAAGGGUGCGUAGGCGGGCAGGUAAGUCAGUGGUGAAAUCCUAGAGCUUAACUCUAGAACUGCCAUUGAUACUAUCUGUCUUGAAUAUUGUGGAGGUAAGCGGAAUAUGUCAUGUAGCGGUGAAAUGCUUAGAUAUGACAUAGAACACCUAUUGCGAAGGCAGCUUACUACGCAUAUAUUGACGCUGAGGCACGAAAGCGUGGGGAUCAAACAGGAUUAGAUACCCCAGUAGUCC
rnacentral:rRNA from 1 species